GCAAGUUGAAGCACAGGCUGGAAAAAAGCACACCGCCUGUAGCUGAAAACCUGUUGAAGGUAAUAAUAAACUUUCUCACUGGUGAACAUCAGAGAAAUCCCAGGAGUUCCUGAAUUUGUCACAGGGCUGUUCUUGCCUUCCCAUGAAAUUCCACUCUUCCCCUGGGUAAGCUGAUGCUGUUGUUUAGUUCUGGGGAGGUGAAAAAAGAUCCCUCUGCUGUGCUGGGGUCACC
rnacentral:lncRNA from 1 species